GCGGGCAUCUCUCUGCCAAACAGAUUCUUCUCUUUUCCUGGCUUCCUCUUCCUUCUGCUUGUCCUCUCCUGGUAUUUUAUCUGUCUCAUCUUGAGUCCCCCGUGGUGCUGACCGUAGCCACCACCCCCCUCCCCCAGCCCCGGAGACCCUCGGGCUCCGGAAGUGAUUAAGUUCCCAGGAAUCCACCUCCCAGGGACUCGGUCCUCUUGUGGCUGCCGUUUCUGGGAUGGCAGACAGUCCCUCGGGGCUCUGUGUGAACUGGGCCCUGAGCCAGCUCGUCAUUGGGGGAAAACAGGCCACAUUGUUUGGGAAAGUUAAAGGAUGUCCCUACGAGAAAGGGCGCGUGACCCCGGCCGCCCAGCGCGGCCUAGUGCUGGCCACUGCGCUCUCCUCCACACGCAGGCCUCGAGCUGCUGCUGAGGCCGUGUGCCCUCGCCACUCGCGUGAGCCCUGGAUCAGCAGCGGCGGCGCCAGCUGUCGAAAUGCGAAAUCGGAAUCCCGGAUGUCUGGGCCUUCACCGGGUGACGCCUCAGCCCAAGCGUGAGCAGCCCUGGUGUCCAUGCGACCGGCCCAGCUCCAUUCCUCAAGCGAGCCUCCCCAGUCCCUAGGCUGACUGUGGGCUCUGUGCAGCGGUGGUCCCAACAAACCGACAAAACCACGGGAACGGGGAGGGGGUGAUGGGCAGGCUGGUGACACUGCCUGCUGACAGGAGAUGGACAGACCCCAUGGACAAGUCGCCUCGUGUCUCUGAGCCUUGGCUUCCCCUUCUGUAGAGUGGCCACAGGGAUCCUGUGGUGGCCAAGGGAGAGCGUGCAAUGCCCCACGUGAUGUCCCAGGAGGCCAGUAGAAGCAGAAGCGGGGCAUGGGAGGGUGUCAGCCCUGUGAGAAGUCUCCCCCAGGCCCAGAAGACAGGGCAGAAGCUAUCGGAGAGCUGUCCAAAGGGGGGCCUGAGCCCCAAGCUGCCCCUCCAGCUCCGCCCGAGAUCCCCCCUCCCGUCCUCUCUGAUGGCAGCCAGCGUAAAGAGAGGGGAGUGGCCCAUGUGGCUCGAGAUCCUGCAGCUUCUGAGAGGCAAGCUGGUGGUGGGUCACGACCUGAAGCACGACUUUCAGGCGCUGAGAGAGAACAUGAGCAACUACUCCAUCUACGACACGUCCACCGACAGGCUGCUGCAGCGAGAAGCCAAACUGCUGUCCUGCAAGCGGGUCUCCCUCCGGGUGCUCAGCGAGCGUCUCCUCGGGCGGCACAUCCAGCCCACGCCCCUGCCUGUGUCUACAGAACAGCUGCUUUGGACACAGCUCGGUGGAGGACGCCAGGGCAGCCAUGGAGCUCUACCGGAUCUCCCGGCGCAUUCGAGCCCGCUGAGGGCCCGCCGGGUGGAGCGGGACUGGAGUUCUGCCUUCAUCCCGAAGUCUUCGUCUCUUCAAGACAGCAACCCCCUUGCUUUUGGAAAAUGUGUCUUUAGCAGUAAAAUAGCUCUAUAUUUUUUCUACUCCAUCAUUGGAUACUCCUCUGGCCUUUUUCUGAGCUGGGGACAGCGCCUCACACCCCCAGCAGAAGGGGCUCUGGACGCACUAAAGGAAAGGUGAGCUACCCAAACAGGACGAGGGAAUCGGGGCUACGGAGCCAGACCCUUAAGUGGAAAGUCAGGAGCGAGCAGGAGCGAGGAAGUCUGGGAGGCCUCCGACUUCCGAGGCACAUGUAAGCAAUUUGUGUCUUUGAAAAGAAUCACCGGAGAGUUUGGCUACCGGUUGGUGUCUGUUCGUUGGUUUUCUUGCGCCCCAGUCCCUUGACCAUCACUCACGGUGAAUCGUAUCUUACCAACAUUUAACAUUCUUUAAACCCCAUUUUGACAGGACUCCUUUCUCUUGUGAGAAUCCUUGGCUGCCUGGGUUUGGGGAGUAUUCAUCCAGAAUAACUGCAUCUGCUCCCUGCUGCAGAAGGCCCUCCAGGCCAAUCGACUACUGGGCACUAGUCUUGAUCAUUUCUUAGGCUGGGAGCGACUGCCACUCAGAGAUCACGUAUCUUCGGGCCUCAAUCCACAAGAAGAGCAGACUCUUCUAAAGCGGUCCUGGCUUUAUGGAAGUGUCUUGGCUCCAACUCCUUCCCUUGUGCCAGCCCAAAGCCUCAUUUCCUGACCCUAGUGGAUAUAAAGAUUGGCCUCCAGAGUGCCAUGCUCUAUUCUCUCUUCCACUCCCCCACACCACCACCCCCCAACCCCACCCAAGCAAGCAGAAACCUCAACUUUGCCACUUAAGAUCCAUGAAAUCCUGGAGCAAAGGAUUUAAUCCUAAAACUCCUCCCCCUCUUCUUUGCCUUGUUAACUCUAACUUUCCCUUUAAGACUUAGCUUCCAAUCACCUCCUCCAGGGAGCCUUCCUAGAUUUCACCAGCUCCAUCUGCCCGUUGUUCCCAGACUGACACUUCUGAGCCUUUGCCCUACUGUGAAGCAACAUGGGGUGGGCAGCACACUGCAAGCUCCUGGGUCCUACAGGUCGGUGUCAAGGUGAGACAGAGGGUGGCGGAAGGGAGGUGUGGCAGGAACGCAGAUGGGUGUGACGGGCCUGAGCCCCAGCGAAGAAGUCGGAUUUUAGCGGUCAGUGAUGAGAGCUCCAAGGAGGCUCAAUCAGAUGCCCACUUUGGAAGUGUCACCGCGGUGGCUAGGAAUAAGAAUGAAGGCUGGCCAAGAAGCUGGGUGGCCAAUUUGGAGGCACCCAAAUUCCCCAGCCCAGAUGAGUGACGAUGGCCCUUGAGCAAAGGCUGUUCAGGGGCGGACGGUGGGCACAGAUUUAUGAAAUAUUUAGGGAGCAAACAUUCAACAAGUCUUCAUGAUGUGGAGGGGCCGAGAAUGCCAGACGUCUGAUGCUCCCCCCUCUCUCUCUCCUGCUCCCUUACCCACCUCGGACCCCCUCCUGGGCGCUCCCCCCUCUCCGCCCCCCCUCCCCUGGGCACUGAUACACCAGGCGCUUUGGGUAGGAAGUCUAAAAGGGUUUCAGAGGGGCAGAGUGGGCUCCUGCCUUCCACAGUCUCCACGAGGAGCCUCCCCAAUAAAUGUAUUCGUCCUUCCCCUACCUUCUCCUGGACACUUGGCUUGUGUGUUUCAGGAUGGUUUGAAUUUUUUCAAAAAAAUUAAAAUUCUCGGCCGGGCGAGCCAAUUCCAGUGAAUGACCACACAGUAAAACGUGACAAGGGCCCCAUUCACAGGCCCCGACUGCGCGGAGCUGGUCAGGCGGCUGGAGGCAGCUCUUGAUGAAUCAACUUAUGUUAGAAGGUCAGUGACUCAAAACCCCUGGGAGUCGGGCUGAAUGGUGACCCGAGCAUUUGUGAUGUGCAUGGAAGUCAGCCUUCGUUGUCUUGGAUGACAAGACCCCCAUGAUUUCUGAUUGAUUGACUGAUUUUUUUUUAGUAAUACAAUCAUGUUUUUCUUUGUAAUUUGGGUCCACAUAAAAACUUAUUUUUACAUUAUUAUAAUCGUAAUACCUGAUUUUGUCUUUUUAAAUUGUUUAUAAUCAUUUUUCCACAUUACCAUGGUAGUGUUCAUAAUUACCUUUUUAUUUUAUGUUUUUAAAAUCACGUUACUGAGGUAUAACUGACAUGUAAAAAGCUGUAAAUGUUUAACGUAUAUGAUAAACGGGACAAAUAUACACCAUGAAACCAUCACCACCAUGAAGGCCAUGUACAUAUAUACCACCUCCAAAAGUUUCCUCCCACCCUUUUUAUUAUAAUUAUUAUUAUUGUGCGUGCGUGUGUGGGUGUGGGUGUGGCAAGAAUACUCUUCCGACGCCAUGACUGCUGAUUUCAAGUUGUUCAUUCAACCAAAAUCUGUGGGGUCCAUGCUGUGCCAGGGACUGUUCAAGGCCCAGAAACCCAGUGGUAAAUGCCAGACCCUUGCUCUCACAGAGCCCCCCUUGAGUGGGGGAGUCAGACAACAAACCCAUAAACUUGUUAAAUACUUUAAUGAGAUAACUUUGAGCAGUGAUGAGCACAAGGAAGAAGACAAAACAGGGUCACAGGACGGAGCAUGAAGAAGGGCAGAUGCUACUUUUAGAAGAUCCCUCUACACAAGUGAUGUCUUUUGAGAACAGGAGGACAAGAAAGAGGUGAUCAUGUCCCAGAAGGAAGAGCUGUGCCAAGGCCUUGAGGUGGGAACAAGGUGGCUAUCACGAGAUUGUGUGCAUCAGAGUUGUAGGAUCUGGAGGGUUAAGAGUGUCCAAAGAUCAGCAAGCACUUGAGAUGGAAGGUCACAGAAAAUGAGCGAGCCAACGUGUGAGCUGGAUGGCUCACCAGCGAAGGUGGUGAACAUACAACCACCCUAUGAGCCAACAAUUCUACUCCUCAGUAUUCUCUCAUCAGAAGCGAAAGUAUACUCUGCAAGAUGUAUGCAAGAAUGUCCACAGCAGCUUUUUCAUAAUGAUCAAAAGCUGGCAACAGCCAAUACAUUAAUCACCAGGAAACCAGCUCAACAAAGGGUGAUGUAUUCAGACACAGAAUGUUAACAAUACAAGGAAAUGAAGCACAUACACACACAACCUAGAUGCAUCUCAAAAACCUAUGCUGGGUGGAAGAAGCCAGACACAAAAGAAUAUAUACUGUAGGAUUCCAGAAUAAGAUAGACUAAUCUAAGGUGGGAAAAAAAUCAAGACAGUGGUUGCCUCUUGGGGUGGGGGGGCGUCGAUCAACUCAGAAAGGGUAUAAGGAAACUUUCGGGGGUGAUGAUAUCACUGCAAAUUUUCGUAGGUUUGCAACACGCAGGUUUUCACCUUUCCCAAAACUCACUGCUUGGAACUCUCAAGACUUGUACAUAUUGCUGUAUAGAAAUUUUACCUCAAAGAAUAGAGAAGAACCAUAAACAAAUUUUGAACUCUGGAAUGCUAGAAUAUUUAGGACUGGAGUGAAGUGCACUGAUGUUUCAACUACAUAAGAAAAAAGAUACGUGAUGGAGGGAUUAUGUAGGCUAAUUGAAGAAUCGAGGCAGUGGGUGGAUGGGUGUUCCAGUACCAUUCUUCCAAAUUAGAAAAAUUUCACGCCCCGUGUUAACCCCCAAUACACACAUUUUGAACAAAAAUCUUAUCUAUUUAGGUUGGAUCAAUGACAAUGCGAGUCACAGAAGACAAAGCACCUCUAACCUGUUUCUGUGUUUUGUUUUACAAGGUCCAUUGUAUAUAAACCAGUCUCACAGAAGUAAUAGGGAUGGACAGAGAUUUUUAAAAAGUUUCAUCAAGCUCAGGAUAUUUAUUUUUUUAACUUUUAUCCAAAGCAAGAUAAACGGUGAAGCUUUAAAACAUUCAUUUUCAGGGCUUCUUCGGUAGCCAGUUUCAAUAAUUAUCCUGAAAAAUUAUAGUUAAAUAAUCUUUCAAUGAAAAAAUGGAUCUGGACCCAUGAAUUUUUUUAUGCAUGGAUUUUUUUGGAUGGAAAAUAAAUUCCAGUCAAAUGCAAAAUUCCAUUCCAUUCCAAUUUAUUCAAAAUUCAAAGUGUUUCAUCGUUCUGUCAACUGAUAAAUUUUACAAAUAUGUAGAAUCGAGAUAUGCAUAUACUACCUUGUUGUUAAGUGUUUUAAAUUAUGGAACACAUUUUUUAAAGGUUUUAUUUUUAAGUCAUUUCUAUACCCAGCGUGAGGCUCACACAACCCCAAGAUCAAGAGUUGCAUACUCUACUGACUGAGCCAGCCAGGUGCCCCAAAUUAUGGAACACAUUAUAACAAUCUGCUGAAAUUCUAUUUUUUCCAAAUUUCUAUUUUUUUGUUUUUGUCCUUUGAUCUUAUCUGAUAUUAGAAAGCAUGGUGAUAUGGAAACCAUAUUGUGUCCACUGACAGUUGAAUGGAUAAAGAAAUUUAUACACACACAUACACAUACACACACACAGAGAUAUCAUUCAGCCCCCCAAAAGAAGGAGACCCUGUCAUUUACAACCACAUGGAUGAACUUGGGGGACAUUAUGCUGCAUGAAAUAAGCCAGACACAGAAAGUAAAAAACCCUGCAUGAUCUCACUUACAUGUGAAAUCUCACAAAAUCAUAGAAGCAGGGAGUAGAAUGAACGGUGCUUACCACGGGGCAGGUGAUGGGAGAUGUUGGUCAAAGGGUACAACACUGCAGUUAUGUAGGAUGAUUAAGUCCAGAGGUCUAAUGUACCGCAUGGUGAUUAUAGUUAAGACUGAAUUGAAUCUUGGAAAUUUAUUAAGAGAGUAGAUUUCAGGUGCUCUCAGCACACACACACACAAAGGUAACUGGGAAGGGAUGAUACGCUAAGUAGCUUGAUCAUAGCAAUCAUGUCACCGUGUAUCUGUAUAGCAAAUGAUCACGUUUACCACUUAUAUAUAUGCGAUUUUUAUUUUUAAAGAGAGCAGCUGGAAACAUGAGUCAGUGCCCAGUUACAGGGGAUCUUAACUGUCCCAUGGAGAAGCUUGGAUUUUUCACCUUUUCUGGGAUUUUUGAGAAGGGUAAUGACAUGAUUUAAAAAAUAAAGUUUCUGGAAGAUUCAUCUGACAUGUGUGCACAGGAUGGCUAAUUUAGUAAAAAUGAUAUAACAUGAAAAAAAAUUUUAAUCAAAAGCAUGGCACAAUCCUUUCCUGGCAGGGAAGUAUUCAGGUCAUCAAAAAUAACUGAGGAUAUGGGAUAAAUACGCAAAUCUGGUUGUCCAACUGACAUAUUUUAAAAAGUUGGGACAAACUUAUGUUGCGGAAAUUCCAGGAGUUUGUUCCAUAGCUUGAAUAGUUCCACAGGACCUUCCCCUUCAUGACCAUUUUACUUCAUAGAGAAUAAUAGCUGUUCGCAGGUAGCUCCCGUCCUAUCCCAUGGUAAAGACAAUCAUUUUCAGCUUAGCAUGUUAGCUUUCUGUAGUUCACACUUUUUCUCUCUUCACUAAGCCUACUGUUUAGUUUUGCUACUUUUUUUUUUUUUGGCAAGACAUUCUCGAUAAAGGGAAGCAGUGCAUGGAUUCACAUUCUGGCCCAAUCUCCUUAAUUUGGGGAAUUACUUUUCCUAUCAUAGCAGCUUUGCCAGCAAACACACUCCUACGCAAAGCUAAACUCCAAGCCACAUUUGCUGACUCUGAUCAUUCUCUUGAAUCUUUCGACAAUGUCAAGUUGCUAUAAAAGUUUCAAAUGCCUACUCUCACUCUCUGUACUAACCUCGCUGUGGACCCGUAUUAGCACGAAUCCACAAAACCCACUUUGACCGACCCCGUACGGAGCCCUCUCUGCGAAAUGAUGGGUGAUCCAGGAUGGGGUGUAAAGUAGAGAAAACUGUAAGGUCCCACAGCCCAGGGAUGCUCUGAUUCUGUAGUCCAGGAAGGAGACAGUCUGGGCAAACUAAAUGCUCAGCCAGGCUACCAAACGUUUCUGAACACGCUUCUCCUAAUACUAAGGGAGGUCAUUGAUCCAGAUGGCCAACCCAGAGAGAAUCUUAAACCCAUGCUCCGCGACUUACUCUGUUUGGUUCAGCAACACUGGGAAACCCUGCUCCUUUGGGAGUUAUGAGAAGGCCCCUUGGAAGCUCCUAACCUUUUGUUGUUCUCAAAAUGUCUUCGAGAAUAUGACUAUGGCCCCUCAUUCCAGAAAUAUGCAUGCACAUACCCCAAAAUAUUGUAUUCAGUUGCAGGGCCUUUAUAGACCUCCUAUAAUCCACCCCAGGACAUUCAAGGGAUCCUAGGAAGCUUGCCUUGGAGGAGUAAGUCAGCCGGUCCCUGUACGACCUUCCCCUCAGGUGUGGGUAUACCGAGUCUUGGGCUCAUACUCAGGGCUCCCCCUUGUGGUGCCCCCCAAGUGCCAGAGGUUUCCAAGUAGGCAAGAGAGUCCUCGUGAGGCAUGGCAAGGAGUCGGGAUCCUCCCAAUGAUGUCUCCCAUUUAUCAUCAUGGUCCUGCCUUCCUGAUAUGACUCGGGGAGUUUGGGGAACCCCAUUGUAUAACCCUCCAGAAGGUAACUAUUGAAACCUUUGGGGAAGGUGGGUUGCUGUUUUAUUCUUCAAUAUUUGGAUCAAAACACUUCCCAGAGAGUUAACUGUGGUCUGUUGUGUGGAUCCUGAGGAAAUGAGGGGUUCCCUUCUGACCUGGGGCUCCACUGGGGGCCACUUGCCACAAUAG